AUUGAACGCUGGCGGCAGGCCUAACACAUGCAAGUCGAACGAGUGGCGGACGGGUGAGUAAUGUCUGGGAAACUGCCUGAUGGCGGGGGAUAACUACUGGAAACGGUAGCUAAUACCGCAUACCAUCAGAUGUGCCCAGAUGGGAUGAGCUUGUUGGUGGGGUAACGGAUCACCAAGGCGACGAUCCCUAGCUGGUCUGUGAGGAUGACAAGGCACCCUGUAACUGAGAAACGUUCCAGCCUACGACGGUAGGGAGCAGUGGGGAAUAUUGCACAAUGGGCGCAAGCCUGAUGCGGCCCUGCCGAGUGGAGGGAGAAGGCAUGCGGGUUGUAAAGUACUUUCAGCGGGGAGGCGUUACCCGCAGAAGAAGCACCGGCUAACUCCGUGCCAGCAGCCGCGGUAAUUC
rnacentral:rRNA from 1 species